AUACCAUAGCGUUGUAAAUCAAGAAUAUACAAUAAGUGAAGAAUAGGGUCAAGAAGAGGACCACCGUGGCUUUUGGUUUUGGGCAACAAAUUGUCAAAUUAUAAUGAAUUUUUUUUUUAAGCAUUAGCUACUUGUCAUACACGGCCGGCCGCACACGAAAAUGAUAUCAUGCUUGAAUCCCAACACCCACCGCCCUCCACCCCUCUUUUCUCUCCAAAAUAAAAUAUAACACCGUCUUCUCUUCUCGCCUCUGUCUCUACAAUGUACAUACAUCCACUCAUUUUUUAUAAUUUUCUUUUUUUUUCUUCUGGCGGACAGCCCACGGAUACACACACUACACGCACCGAUGUAACGUAUAAAACCCUUCUCAUUUUUUGCUUUUUUUCUUUCUUUUUAAAAAAAAAAAAAAAAAUUCUGUCCUCCACAAGUCUCCUAACUGAUCCCAAAGCAAUAUGAUGACAACAAGCAAAGGUGGAACAACUGCCCCUCCAGCAACAUCUCAGCCUAGCCAAGAUGAACAGCAACGACAACGAGAGUGCUGCAUGUGUGGCGAUUUUGGCCUAUCUUCUGAGCUUUUCAGAUGCAAAAUUUGCCAAUUCCGAUCUCAACAUAGGUAUUGCAGCAAUACAUAUCCAAGAGCGGAGUCUUAUCGCGCUUGCAAUUGGUGCCUGAAUGAGAAGGAAAAUUCAUUCAACUCUUCUUCAUCGAAUAAAAAUGCUACUAGCACGAAGACGACGUGAUGAAGGUCGCCAAGAAGAAGAGUGUUCAUGGGGCAACGGCGGCGGUAACGGCAAUCUUCAAAGAAGUAAUAGUAGCAUCAAGAGCGAAAAAGGGUCUCCGAAGUUGAGUGUCAUUAUUAAAAAUAACCGUUCCAUCAAGAAACAAAAGUCACCGGAGAGAUCAUCGCCGUUAUUAGCCGCCCGAAAGAGGAUUACCACGGGUAGUGCUGUCCAGGAGAGUUUGAGGAGGACAAAAUCGGACAUAUCAAAUAGCGGGAUGAAGAAACACGUUUUCAAGAAUAGAGUUAGAAGAUAUAAGCUGUUGGAUGAGGUUUCAAGCUAGGUAAGUCAUGAUCAAGUGUAUAGGAAUAUGAUACUACACCCUUCCCUUUUUUUUUUUUUUAACCUUCCCUCCUUCUCAUCUCAUCUGGGCUGUAGCAGCUCAUCAAUAUUUGCCUUUUCUUUAUCUCCGGUGGUGUCAAUGACCCCACGAGGCUGUUGACGGAAGAAUAUACUAAAAGAAAUGGGGUUUAUCGUACAGACCGCAGAGCGCUGGAUCUUGAUAUAAGAGAUGACGAGAAUCCACAUGUAUAUGAAUGGAAGGUGAAUCUGAGUUUUGACAAUCUUCUAAACUGAACAAAUGUAUAUCGCGCAUAUUAAUUAUCCCAAAAAGUGGAAAAGAAAAAGACGAAAGUUGCAAUUUAAUUUGGCAGCACAAAAGUUGUUAUACAAGUUCGGCUUGUGAAAGAUCUUUUUAUUUUCUAGGAUCAUUCACAUGAAAUUAAGUUUCUUGAAUCCUUUUAUCUUAGCUAUAGCAUGUAUGUGGUUAUGCUACUAGAUUUCCUUGGAGCU